rnacentral:sRNA from 1 species
GCUGGGAGCAGUGGUGCUCGCCUGUAAUCCCAGGGGCUCAGGAGGCUGAGGCAGGAAGAUUGCUAAGGACUCAGUGAGACCCUGCCUCUA